AUUGAACGCUGGCGCCAUGCCUUACACAUGCAAGUCGAACGCGAAAGCGGAGCAAUCCGCAAGUAGAGUGGCGAACGGGUGAGUAAUACAUCGGAACAUAUCCAGUAGCGGGGGAUAACCUGUCGAAAGAUAGGCUAAUACCGCAUACGAUCUACGGAUGAAAGCAGGGGACCGCAAGGCCUUGCACUAUUGGAGUGGCCGAUGUCAGAUUAGCUAGUUGGUGGGGUAAAAGCCUACCAAGGCGACGAUCUGUAGCUGGUCUGAGAGGACGAUCAGCCACACUGGAACUGAGACACGGUCCAGACUCCUACGGGAGGCAGCAGUGGGGAAUUUUGGACAAUGGGCGAAAGCCUGAUCCAGCCAUGCCGCGUGAGUGAAGAAGGCCUUCGGGUUGUAAAGCUCUUUCGGUGAAGACGAAACGGUUAGCGCUAAUAACGCUGACUAAUGACGGUACUCACAGAAGAAGCACCGGCUAACUACGUGCCAGCCGCCGCCGUAA
rnacentral:rRNA from 1 species